rnacentral:rRNA from 1 species
CCUACGGGAGGCAGCAGUGAGGAAUAUUGGUCAAUGGCCGAAAGGCUGAACCAGCCAAGUCGCGUGAAGGAUGACGGAUCUAUGGUUUGUAAACUUCUUUUAUAUGGGAAUAAAGGUAUCCACGUGUGGAAUUUUGCAUGUACCCUAUGAAUAAGCAUCGGCUAACUCCGUGCCAGCAGCCGCGGUAAUACGGAGGAUGCGAGUGUUAUCCGGAUUUAUUGGGUUUAAAGGGUGCGUAGGUUGGUUGUUAAGUCAGUGGUGAAAGUUUGUGGCUCAACCGUAAAAUUGCCGUUGAAACUGGAAGACUUGAGUGUGGUAGAGGUAGGCGGAAUGCGUGGUGUAGCGGUGAAAUGCAUAGAUAUCACGAAGAACUCCGAUUGCGAAGGCAGCUUACUGGACCGUAACUGACACUGAGGCACGAAAGUGUGGGGAUCAAACAGGAUUAGAUACCCGUGUAGUC